rnacentral:rRNA from 1 species
UGGGGAAUAUUGCACAAUGGGCGCAAGCCUGAUGCAGCCAUGCCGCGUGUAUGAAGAAGGCCUUCGGGUUGUAAAGUACUUUCAGCGGGGAGGAAGGGAGUAAAGUUAAUACCUUUGCUCAUUGACGUUACCCGCAGAAGAAGCACCGGCUAACUCCGUGCCAGCAGCCGCGGUAAUACGGAGGGUGCAAGCGUUAAUCGGAAUUACUGGGCGUAAAGCGCACGCAGGCGGUUUGUUAAGUCAGAUGUGAAAUCCCCGGGCUCAACCUGGGAACUGCAUCUGAUACUGGCAAGCUUGAGUCUCGUAGAGGGGGGUAGAAUUCCAGGUGUAGCGGUGAAAUGCGUAGAGAUCAGGAGGAAUACCGGUGGCGAAGGCGGCCCCCUGGGCGAAGACUGACGCUCAGGUGCGAAAGCGUGGGGAGCAAACGGG